GGAGCCAGAAACCCGGCGCUGGCAGCGGUGGCGGCCGAGGAGAUGCCGGCAAAGGGCAGGAAGGGCACACUAGUAAGAAGCCGCCGCCGGGCACCGGCAGCAGGUCUUCGGCGGAGGGAGCCGGCAAGAAAUCGCAAGAAGAUGCUACCGGUGGCCGUUAGAGCCCAAGACCGACGCGGCAGCGCUCUGCACGGUUCCGUGCUUUCAUCCAUUCCUGUGUAACGUGCAUCCAUCCGGUUGUAAUUUAAUUAUGUUCAUCGAUCUGCAUGUGUGUUCAUUUGGGAUGCAAAUUAUAUAUAUUUUGGAUCAUUAGUUCAACUCAAAAAGCUGAUAAAAUGAACUAGAAUGAUAUUCUACGUAAAUAAUUUAGGAGGAGAAAUGAAUUAGAGUGGCAUGCCAUCGUAAUUAAUUAGCUGCCUCAAAAAACACUAUUGGAAACACUAUUAGGUACUUACUUGCAUCCUUAGUGUUCAUAGUUCGUUUUAUUACAACGCGAGCAACAUUUCAAGACAUGUCCACGUGGAUGC
rnacentral:lncRNA from 1 species